GAACCGUCCAAACGUUAUUCGGAAUUACUGGGCUUAAAGGGUGCGUAGGCGGCUUGGCAAGGUUGGGUGUGAAAUCCCUCGGGCUCAACCGAGGGAACCGCGCUCAAAACUGCCAGGCUAGAGGGAGAUAGAGGUGAGCGGAACUAAUGGUGGAGCGGUGAAAUGCGUUGAUAUCAUUAGGAACACCUGUGGCGAAAGCGGCUCACUGGAUCUCUUCUGACGCUGAGGCACGAAAGCUAGGGUAGCGAACGGGAUUAGAUACCCCGGUAGUCCUAGCCGUAAACGAUGAGCACUGGGUUGGAGGCUCCUCCAUAGGCUUCCGGCCGAAGCGAAAGUGUUAAGUGCUCCGCCUGGGGAGUAUGGUCGCAAGGCUG
rnacentral:rRNA from 1 species